rnacentral:rRNA from 1 species
UGGACGGGUGAGUAACGCGUGAGAAUCUGCCCUCAGGAGGGGGAUAACGGUUGGAAACGACCGCUAAUACCCCAUAUGCCUAUUGGUGAAAUGAAUUUCGCCUGAGGAUGAGCUCGCGUCUGAUUAGCUAGUUGGUGAGGUAAUGGCUCACCAAGGCUUCGAUCAGUAGCUGGUCUGAGAGGAUGAUCAGCCACACUGGGACUGAGACACGGCCCAGACUCCUACGGGAGGCAGCAGUGGGGAAUUUUCCGCAAUGGGCGAAAGCCUGACGGAGCAACGCCGCGUGAGGGACGAAGGCCUCUGGGCUGUAAACCUCUUUUCUCAAGGAAGAAGAUAUGACGGUACUUGAGGAAUAAGCCACGGCUAAUUCCGUGCCAGCAGCCGCGGUAAUACGGGAGUGGCAAGCGUUAUCCGGAAUUAUUGGGCGUAAAGCGUCCGCAGGCGGCUUUUCAAGUCUGCUGUUAAAACGUGGAGCUUAACUCCAUCAUGGCAGUGGAAACUGAAAGGCUUGAGUAUGGUAGGGGCAGAGGGAAUUCCAGUGAAGCGGUGAAAUGCGUAGAUAUUGGAAGGAACACCAAUGGCGAAGGCACUCUACUAGACUUUUACUGACACUCAGAGACGAAAGCUAGGGUAGCAAAGGGAUUAGAUACCCCAGUAGUC